rnacentral:rRNA from 1 species
CCUACGGGGGGCAGCAGUGAGGAAUAUUGGUCAAUGGACGCAAGUCUGAACCAGCCAUGCCGCGUGCAGGAAGACGGCUCUAUGAGUUGUAAACUGCUUUUGUACGAGGGUAAACGCAGAUACGCGUAUCUGUCUGCACGUAUCGUACGAAUAAGGAUCGGCUAACUCCGUGCCAGCAGCCGCGGUAAUACGGAGGAUUCAAGCGUUAUCCGGAUUUAUUGGGGUUAAGGGGUGCGUAGGCGGGCGGAUAAGUUAGAGGUGAAAUCCCGAGGCUCAACUUCGGAAUUGCCGCUGAUACUGUUCGGCUAGAGAGUAGUUGCGGUAGGCGGAAUGUAUGGUGUAGCGGUGAAAUGCUUAGAGAUCAUACAGAACACCGAUUGCGAAGGCAGCUUACCAAGCUACGUCUGACGCUCAUGCACGAAAGUGUGGGUAUCGAACAGGAUUAGAUACCCGGGUAGUC